rnacentral:tRNA from 1 species
UCCCUGGAGGUCCAGGGGUUAGGACUUGGAACUUUCACUGCCAUGGCCCAGGUUCAAUCCCUGGCUGGGGAA